rnacentral:rRNA from 1 species
CCUACGGGAGGCAGCAGUAGGGAAUAUUGCUCAAUGGGGGAAACCCUGAAGCAGCAACGCCGCGUGGAGGAUGAAGGUUUUAGGAUUGUAAACUCCUUUUGUUAGAGAAGAUUAUGACGGUACCUAACGAAUAAGCACGGGCUAACUCCGUGCAAGCAGCCGCGGUAAAAGGGCGGGUGCACGCGUUACUCGGAAUCAUUGGGCGUAAAUCGUGCGUAGGUGGGGUAAUAAGUCAGAUGUGAAAUACUAGGGCUUAACCAUAGAACUGCAGUUGAAACUGUUAUUCUAGAGUAUGGGAGAGGUAGGUGGAAUGCUUGGUGUAGGGGUAAAAUCCGUAGAGAUCAAGAAGAAUACUCAUUGCGAAGGCGACCUGCUAGAACAUAACUGACGCUGAUGCGCGAAAGCGUGGGGAGCGAACAGGAUUAGAUACCCUAGUAGUC